rnacentral:tRNA from 1 species
UCCUCGAUAGCUCAACGGUGGAGCAACCGGCUGUUAACCGGUAGGUUGUAGGUUCGAAUCCUACUCGGGGAGCCA